GUGGUAUGAUUGCCAAUGAGUUAACUAUCAACAAAAGAAGCAUGACUUAAUGAUGUUAGUACCCGAAAUGUGUGCAUUGUAUUGCCAAAAACAGCCCAUAUUUGUGUAGCAGAACAAAACCGUAGCUACCCUUGAGGUAAGUGAGGCAAUUGCCUCAUUAAAAUUUCGACACUGAUUACUCUUUUUAUACAUAUAUAUCAAUAUAAUAGUCAUUUGUUGUUCUGUCUCCACCUCAAUUUCUAUAUAACUUGUCAUCAUUCCUUUUAAACUAUUCUUCCUGGAUAUAACUCAGCAUCUCAACGGGUGAUGUUUCUCGAUAACAUUAACCUAGUAAUGAUAACUAUCAUGGAUCUCUAGUUAAAAACAGGCUCUUGCAGAAAAGGAAAAGCGACACUGAAGGUAAAGAAGGAAUAAUUCUAGUAAACUGUUUUUUUUGUGAACAAAAAUGCCUAGAAUGCAGGAUUUUGCACCAUUCAUUUCAUACCCUCCAAAAAAAAAUUUCGCCUCGCUUCGCUCGGCUCAAUUAUUUAGCCUUACUAAAAUAAGAUGCCUAGCUACGGCCUUGCAGAAGCAUUCUACUUUCCAAUAAAUAACUAAAAGAUUACAUUUUCCCAAUUUUGUAGUCUCGUGUCUAUUGUUACAGUGAACCAUUCCCACCCAAAACCGCUGUGGUCAAUUGUCGGUAACGACAAUUUUGAUGGAGACUUACUUUAUCAAGCAUCACAGAGCUAGAUUCCCCAACGUUAUUGAAAAUUAAUUAACAAAUCCUGAUUGACCCAAAAAGAGCUGCAUGAUAACUGGCGGAGGAACCGGGCACUGUAAAAAUAGACACGAGACUAGAAUGAUAUAUAGUUUUAUUGCACACCAGAAGUCUAAAACCUCAUUUGAAUAUAUAAACAAACAUGAAUAUAUAAAUAAACAAACACAAAUACAAUUAGUUCCGUUUACCUACUAACCUAAUAUUUUCUGUUAUGAUUUGACAUAGUUAAUCUGAUUAUAAAAUCUGAUGACUGACCAUGACCUAUAGGGAUUAACUUGUAAUUCGUUUUAAAGCAUAUUUCUAAUAUUUU
rnacentral:lncRNA from 1 species